rnacentral:misc_RNA from 1 species
ACUGAUACCAAUGACUAUGACGUCAAAAUGCGUAACGUGUUCAAGUUCCUCGAGAACGGCGACAAGGUAAAGAUCACAUUGCGCUUCCGUGGCCGUGAGAUGGCGCACCAGAAUCUGGGCCGCGAGCUGCUGGAACGUGUCGCCGAAGACACCAAAGAGAUGGGCCGCGUCGAAAACUUUCCGAAAAUGGAAGGCCGUCAGAUGGUUAUGCUGAUCGGACCGCUGCCUAAAUAAUUCCAGACGAUCAAUCGUCUGAAACUUAAAAAGCCCCCGCAGUUUCCUGCGGGGGCUUUUCUUUGUUUAUACCGAUGGGGUUACUGGCGCA